CUUUGUUUGAAGCCUGGUGGCUGCAGGGAGGGUUGUGUGUGCAGAGUGGUGUUGCAGCUGAAACAUCAGUGAUCUUGAGGCGUGCUGCUUAGGCCAACAUUGGACAGGAGCUGACCGUGUGCCGUUCCCCAGUGUGGGACAGGGCAGCCAUAUUAUUUAUUGGUGGAAAAUUCCCCAAGGUGGAAAGGUAUUACAAUUUUGAAUGGUAAAAUAGGAGGUCUAGUCCCUCUUUUUGCUACUGUCAUGUUUACACUGUCAAUUCCCCCCUCUAGCCUGGUUGCCAGACUGCUGCUUUGCCUGGAUGAAAUCUAACACUGUUUUGCCGGGAUUAAUGUUGGAGGGUCCUCUUGUGUUUCCAGCCAGAUUGUAGUGAAUUGUGAAAAUGUACCUGCGACCCCUAAGAUUGUUCCAGGAAUGUCAAUGUUGGACUUUGUACUGUUUUGGAAUGGAAGAUGUCUUUUUAACUAGUGUAUUAUCAACUGACUUUUAGUGUAGUUUUGCUUUGUGUUUUCUAGGCAGUGUGGAGACCCGCGGGGAGCACUUGGGCCCCUCUGGCUUGCCGUGUGAUUGUGGUUUAUGAUUUGAUGGUGGUGGUCACUUGGUGUCUGUUUUCUCUUUUUUUAUUUAUUCUUAGGAUCGUGUGGCGUGCAGUGUGCUCAUAUGCAUGGGUGUACCCUGGGCUGCAUUUGAACCUCCCCGCAGGAGUCCCACUGCCCCCUUUUCUUCUCUCCUGUAGUUUUUAGGGCAGAUGCCUCAUCUCGCAGUUAAUAUUGUCUUUUAACUGGUGUUAAAUAAAACUUUGACGGUGUUUUUUUUUUGGUUUACUUCACCGACCCACCCAAUCGAAGUUGUCUCCUCGUUUACAAUAAAAUUCUAAUUGUGAACCGAAUACACGUCUCUCCGCUCUCUCUGAACUUUAAAUUGUUUGUGUCCACCCUUUGGGCCGGGUCACAAUCUGGCGCUGCAAGCAGGGUAGAGCUUCCGGACGUGUAUUCAAGUUAGUCGUUUCCUUGGGUUGGUUG